CAAUAGCGUAUAUUAAAGUUGUUGCAGUUAAAAAGCUCGUAGUUGGAUUUCGGGGUGGCCUGGCUGGUCCGCCGCAAGGUGAGUACUGGUCAGCCGCCCUUCCUCUCGAAAGCCCCGACUGCUCUUUACUGCAGUGGUCGGGUAGUUCGGGACGUUUACUUUGAAAAAAUUAGAGUGUUCAAGGCAGGCUAUCGCCUGAAUACAUUAGCAUGGAAUAAUGGAAGAGGACCUCGGUCCUAUUUUGUUGGUUUCUAGGGCCGAGGUAAUGAUUAAGAGGGACAGUUGGGGGCAUUCGUAUUUAAUUGUCAGAGGUGAAAUUCUUGGAUUUAUGAAAGACGAACUAGUGCGAAAGCAUUUGCCAAGGAUGUUUUCAUUAA
rnacentral:rRNA from 1 species